GGCUUCGUGGUCGAGUGGUAAGAACACUAGUCUCUCAUUAUGGAGUCCCAGGUUCAAUUCCCGUUCGAGGAGCUA